CAAGUAGCGGAGCAUGUGGUUUAAUUCGAAGCAACGCGAAGAACCUUACCUAAGCUUGACAUCCCAAUGACAUCUCCUUAAUCGGAGAGUUCCCUUUGGGGACAUUGGUGACAGGUGGUGCAUGGUUGUCGUCAGCUCGUGUCGUGAGAUGUUGGGUUAAGUCCCGCAACGAGCGUAACCCUUGUCUUUAGUUGCCAUCAUUAAGUUGGGCACUCUAGAGAGACUGCCAGGGAUAACCUGGAGGAAGGUGGGGAUGACGUCAAAUCAUCAUGCCCCUUAUGCUUAGGGCUACACACGUGCUACAAUGGGUAGUACAGAGGGUUGCCAAGCCGUAAGGUGGAGCUAAUCCCUUAAAGCUACUCUCAGUUCGGAUUGUAGGCUGAAACUCGCCUACAUGAAGCUGGAGUUACUAGUAAUCGCAGAUCAGAAUGCUGCGGUGAAUACGUUCCCGGGUCUUGUACACACCGCCCGUCACACCACGGGAGUUGGAGACGCCCGAAGCCGAUUAUCUAACCUUUUGGAAGAAGUCGUCGAAGGUGGAAUCAAUAACUGGGGUGAAGUCGUAACAAGGUAGCCGUAUCGGAAGGUGCGGCUGGGUCACCUCCUUUCUAAGGA
rnacentral:rRNA from 1 species